CAACAACUUGGGCACAAUUUGCGAUGUUUACCGUAGUUUCAUGGAAGAAACGUAAUGACAGAAAGUUGGAAAACCAUUAUAAACUCGUUGAAGACAUUGUUUUAUUUGUUUUCUGUAAAAUAAACAGAAAAUUCAGACGUAUUUGUCAUUGACUGCCUUCAUUUUUGAUACGAAAAUAACAAAAUCCGCGGCCAUAUUGUGAUCAUAUUUACAUCAUAUUUACGUACUGUUUAUAAUCCUCCUAAGAAGGAGCACACCCGAAUAAAGAAAGAUAACUCAAUCUGAUUUUUUUCCUAGCAUUGAGUAACCCAUUUACAUAUUCUAAUUCUAAAAUGUGUCUCCAUACUUCUUGCUUAAGAAUAUAUAUGUUUAGGUAUUUAUUUUGAGUUAUGGGAAAAGUUAAAGAGGGUCUUAGUAG
rnacentral:lncRNA from 1 species